CUUGCUUUAGUAGCUGUGCAAACUAGUGCUAGAAACGUUCCUAAAGUUGAAAAUAUGGCUACUACCAAAACUAAUGUGCCUAGUAAUAAUGCUGGUCUAAAUGACCAAAAGAACUUCCUCACCUACGGUGGUGUUGGUGGCUACAGUGGUCUUGGUGGUAAUGGUCUUCCAUUCGGCGGGGUUGGAGGACUUGGUGGAGUCACUGGCCUAGGUGGCACUGCCGGCAUUGGUGGGUUUGGUGGAGUUGGUGGUGGAAGUGGUCUUGGUGGCCUUGGUGGCUUGGGUGGUGGUGUUGGUGGUUUGGGUGGCGUUGGCGGUGGCGGUGGCGUUGGCGGCGGUGUUGGCGGUGGCGUUGGCGGAGGCGUUGGCAGUGGAACUGGCGUUCUUCCUUAUCCAUGAAAAUAUUGAUCUCAUUUCUGGUUUAUAGCCAGGGUUUAUGAAGAACUCUAUUUUUAUGCAUGGUUAUUAAGUUGGUUGUGUUUGAGGGUUUAUGUAAUGGUUUAAUUUUAAUUACUUUAUGUUUUGCUUGUUUAUUAGGGUUAGUUGGGUGUGUCUCUUUACUUUGAGUUCGAGAUUUUCAUUGUCAUGUUUAUGUUUGAGUGGAUCAUAGUUACAGAAACUUGAGUUUAAUUAAUGAGUUCAUGUUUAUUAUAUUGUGUUCGUGUUUAAUUUUUUUUGGUUCAGCUAAUUUUCAUUUUAAGAUACAUUUUGAUAUGAUUAAAAACAAC
rnacentral:lncRNA from 1 species